UCCUGAAGGAACGUUGAAGACGACGACGUUGAUAGGCCGGAUGUGUAAGCGCAGCGAUGCGUUGAGCUAACCGGUACUAAUGAACCGUGAGGCUUAACCUUACAACGCCGAAG
rnacentral:rRNA from 1 species